CUAAUGUCUGUGGGGGUUUGGGAGAUGGCUAAAGCUAGUGUUCUCUUACUCUUUGAUUAAGGGCACCACUUUCAGAUAAAAACAUGGACCUGAAUGGCAUCAUCCAGUAUCCAAGGAAACCAUGAUAUUUCUCAGGAUGUUUGGUUCUGGUUCUCAUUUGCCUCGUCGUGCUGAGGAGGUGGUUUGUCUCGCUGAAGUCAUCAGUGUGGGCACAGUCUUGAAGAGAGCUGAUCUCACCAAGAUAACCAUUCAGUAAUUUUUUUUCUUUGGCAUGAAUCUAAGGUUUCUUAAUUAUAUUUGGCACAGCAUAUGGUAUUGUACAUAGAUUUUUUGCCUUUCCCUCUGUUGUGUUUCUAAAUUUUUGCAGAUAAAGGGAAGCACUGAUAUCUUUAAGAGAGGCUCAUAAAACACUCACUAAUGUCUCCUAUUAUAUUUCUUAAAACCUGUCAGAAAAUCCACUCCCUAGAACCAAAAUGUGGAGAGUCUUAAUUUUAAUGAACUUUGUGAAUAUUGAUGUCUUUUUUUUUUCAUAUUAGAGUAACUCAGAAUUUUUCAAAUGCCUGUGUAACUUCCAAUAACUUAGGACAAUGAAAAUUCAAUAUUGAACAUGAAGAAAUUUUUUUUUGGGGGGGGGAUUUUUAAAAAAAUUCUGGAGAAAACGGGUUGACUUUAAAGUUAUUGCUUUUAUUGACAUGAAAUAAAAUAGUAGGUAUUCUGUUAUGAUUUUAAUUAAUUUAAAUGAAAAGGAUAUAAAUUAAAAA